CCUACGGGAGGCAGCAGUGGGGGAUAUUGCACAAUGGGGGAAACCCUGAUGCAGCGACGCCGCGUGGGUGAAGAAGCGCCUCGGCGCGUAAAGCCCUGUCAGCAGGGAAGAAAAUGACGGUACCUGUAGAAGAAGCCCCUGCGAACUACGUGCCAGCAGCCGCGGUCAUACGGAGGGGGCAAGCGUUAUCCGGAUGGACUGGUUGUAACGGGGGCGCAGACGGCGAUGCAAGCCAGGAGUGAAAGCCCGGGGCCAAACCCCGGGACUGCUCUUGGAACUGCGUGGCUAGAGUGCAGGAGGGGCAGGCGGAAUUCCUGGUGUAGCGGUGAAAUGCGUAGAUAUCAGGAGGAACACCGGUGGCGAAGGCGGCCUGCUGGACUGCAACUGACGUUGAGGCCCGAAAGCGUGGGGAGCAAACAGGAUUAGAUACCCCAGUAGUC
rnacentral:rRNA from 1 species